AAACGACUCUCGGCAACGGAUAUCUCGGCUCACGCAUCGAUGAAGAACGUAGCAAAAUGCGAUACUUGGUGUGAAUUGCAGAAUCCCGUGAACCAUCGAGUUUUUGAACGCAAGUUGCGCCCGAAGCCUUUUGGUCGAGGGCACGUCUGCCUGGGCGUCACAC
rnacentral:rRNA from 1 species